rnacentral:rRNA from 1 species
AUUCCAGCUCCAAUAGCGUAUACUAAAGUUGUUGCAGUUAAAAAGCUCGUAGUUGAAUUUCUGGUCUUGGACGGCGGUCUACCACAAUUGUGGUACGUACCAACUGUCCGAGUCCAUCCUCGGGGAAAACAUGCCUGUGAUUCAGUUCAUGGGUAUGGGAUCCUCGUCAUUUACUGUGAGCAAAAUAGAGUGUUCAAAGCAGGCUUAUGCCGUUGAAUACAUUAGCAUGGAAUAAUAAGAUAGGACCUUGGUCUAUUUUGUUGGUUUGUACUCCAAGGUAAUGAUUAAUAGGGAUAGUUGGGGGUAUUCGUAUUCAAUUGUCAGAGGUGAAAUUCUUGGAUUUAUGGAAGACGAACUACUGCGAAAGCAUUUACCAAGGAUGUUUUCAUCG